rnacentral:rRNA from 1 species
GAUGAACGCUGGCGGCGUGCCUAAUACAUGCAAGUCGAGCGAACAGAUGAGGAGCUUGCUCCUCUGACGUUAGCGGCGGACGGGUGAGUAACACGUGGAUAACCUACCUAUAAGACUGGGAUAACUUCGGGAAACCGGAGCUAAUACCGGAUAAUAUAUUGAACCGCAUGGUUCAAUAGUGAAAGACGGUUUUGCUGUCACUUAUAGAUGGAUCCGCGCCGCAUUAGCUAGUUGGUAAGGUAACGGCUUACCAAGGCAACGAUGCGUAGCCGACCUGAGAGGGUGAUCGGCCACACUGGAACUGAGACACGGUCCAGACUCCUACGGGAGGCAGCAGUAGGGAAUCUUCCGAAAUGGGCGAAAGCCUGACGGGGCAACGCCGCGUGAGUGAUGAAGGUCUUCGGAUCGUAAAACUCUGUUAUUAGGGAAGAACAAAUGUGUAAGUAACUAUGCACGUCUUGACGGUACCUAAUCAGAAAGCCACGGCUAACUACGUG